rnacentral:rRNA from 1 species
AUUGAACGCUGGCGGCAGGCCUAACACAUGCAAGUCGAGCGGAACGGCGGACGGGGGAGUAAUGCCGAGUAAUCUACCUGUUAGUGAGGUAUAAAGUCCGGAACCGGGCGCUAUUGCAGCAUGCGAUCAGAGGAGCCUAGGUCGGAUUAGCUAGUUGGUGGGGUAAAGGCCUACCAAGGCGACGAUCCGUAACUGGUCUGAGAGGAUGAUCAGUCACACUGGAACUGAGACACGGUCCAGACUCCUACGGGAGGCAGCAGUGGGGAAUAUUGGACAAUGGGCGAAAGCCUGAGCCAGCCAUGCCGCGUGUGUGAAGAAGGUCUUCGGAUUGUAAAGCACUUUAAGUUGGGAGGCGUUACCAACAGAAUAAGCACCGGCUAACUUCGUGCCAGCAGCCGCGGUAAUUC